CUACGGGGGGCUGCAGUAGGGAAUCUUAGACAAUGGGGGAAACCCUGAUCUAGCCAUGCCGCGUGAGUGAUGAAGGCCUUAGGGUUGUAAAGCUCUUUCGCUGGGGAAGAUAAUGACGGUACCCAGUAAAGAAACCCCGGCUAACUCCGUGCCAGCAGCCGCGGUAAUACGGAGGGGGUUAGCGUUGUUCGGAAUUACUGGGCGUAAAGCGCGCGUAGGCGGGCUAUUAAGUCAGGGGUGAAAUCCCGGGGCUCAACCCCGGAACUGCCUUUGAUACUGGUAGUCUUGAGUUCGAGAGAGGUGAGUGGAAUUCCGAGUGUAGAGGUGACAUUCGUAGAUAUUCGGAGGAACAUCAGUGGCGAAGGCGACUCACUGGCUCGAUACUGACGCUGAGGUGCGAAAGUGUGGGGAGCAAACAGGAUUAGAUACCCUAGUAGUC
rnacentral:rRNA from 1 species